rnacentral:rRNA from 1 species
AGAGUUUGAUCAUGGCUCAGAACGAACGCUGGCGGCAGGCCUCAAACAUGCAAGUCUAGGGGGUGUAGCAAUACAUCACCGGCGGACGGGUGCGUAACGCGUGGGAAUAUACCUAUCGAUUCGGAACAACUGAGGGAAACUUCAGCUAAUACCGAAUACGUCCUAACGGAGAAAGAUUUAUCGUCGAUAGAUUAGCCCGCGUUCGAUUAGCUAGUUGGUGGGGUAACGGGCCCCACCAAGGCGACGAUCGAUAGCUGUUCUGAGAGGAAGAUCAGCCACACUGGGACUGAGACACGGCCCAGACUCCUACGGGAGGCAGCAGUUGGGAAUCUUGGACAAUGGGGGAAACCCUGAUCCAGCCAUGCCGCGUGAGUGAUGAAGGCCUUCGGGUUGUAAAACUCUUUCGCGCACGACGAUAAUGACGGUAGUGCGAGAAGAAGCUCCGGCUAACUUCGUG